rnacentral:rRNA from 1 species
UACAGAGGGGGCAAGCGUUAUUCGGAAUUAUUGGGCGUAAAGGGCGCGUAGGCGGACGUGUCAGUCAGGGGUGAAAUCCCGGAGCUCAACUUCGGAACUGCCUUUGAUACAGCACGUCUUGAGUCCGGAAGAGGUGGGUGGAAUUCCUAGUGUAGAGGUGAAAUUCGUAGAUAUUAGGAAGAACACCGGUGGCGAAGGCGGCCCACUGGUCCGGUACUGACGCUGAGGUGCGAAAGCGUGGGGAGGCAAACAGGA